UUACAAGUUUUAUGAAGUUCUUGUAAAAGGAGUACUUCAUACACCGUAUAAACAUUAUAUCCAACAAUUGCCCAUAGUCUUAUCACUUUUUUCACAUCUUUGUUUGAGUUUAAACUUUUGCUAUUGUUCGAUAUAUAAGGAUUAAGAAGCAGAGAAUGCCUAGAACUAUUAGAGAAGAUGAACGGUGUACACUUUGUUAUACUAUUUUAUUUGAGAAACAUAGAAUAGAAAUGGUUUUCUUAAUGUUUCAAGAGCAUAUAAAUUUGAUAGUGUUUGUUUAGCAGAUGGUGCUUCAGUAUGAAGCUUUUUGUGUCUUUCUUUCUUCUUUUUUUUUUGUUCUCUUCUCCUCAUUUUCUAUUUUCCUUUUUACUUUCCCCAUUCUCUUCCUCCUCCUCCGUCACAAUCAGUUAUUACAAAAGAUCUCACAUGUAGCAUCGUCAUGUUCAGUUGCUUCAUCACCACCAUUAUCUUCUCCUCCUCUACCAUCGCCACUGUAGUCUCAUCACCUUUUUCCACCACAUCUUCUUUUCCUCUGCCACCUUUCGUGGUGGUUUCUUUUCCUCCAUCAACCCUGGCGAC
rnacentral:lncRNA from 1 species